CUGACAUGGCACAGACCAGAAUGGCAAUUCUUACACCAGCCUUGAUUUGCAGAGCCCUCUGGAUCUGGAAGAGGAAACUGAGAAUGUUUGCAGUUUGACUUCACCUGAGCCCCAGGGAUCCGCAAACUUUUUCAGUUAAGGGCCAGAUAGUAAAUGUUUUGAGCUUUGCUGGUCCUACUUGUUAUCAGCUCUGUUGCCACUGCUGUUGUAGCACAGAGGUUCCAACUCGGCCACUGUAAUGCAGCUACAGAGAAUAGGGAAGGAAAUAAGUUUAGCUGUGGGCCAAUAAAACUUUAUUUAUAAAAAGGACAUGAUUUGGAAGGCCAGUCUGUUAACCCCUAAGUACAAGCAACAGGGUGAUUGGCCUUGGAUAAAAGGCAAGGGGGAAAUGUUAACAUGAAAUUGAGCCAGCAUCAGUAAUGAGUGUCUAUGGUCCCAGCUACUUGGGAG
rnacentral:lncRNA from 10 species